UCACCUGUUUNUCAAAAACAUGUCUUAUUGAUUAUAAUUUUAAGUCAAAUCUGCUCAAUGAAUUUAUUUAUUUUAAAUAGCUGCAGUAUCUAUAACUGUACUAAGGUAGCAUAAUAAAUAGUUUUUUAAUUGAAAACUAGAAUGAAUGAUUUAAUGAAAUAUAAACUGUAUCAAACUUAAAAAAUAAAAUUGUUAUUUAAAUAAAAAAAUUUAAAUUUUUAUUAAAGACGAAAAGACCCUAAAGAAUUUUCAUAAUUUUUUAUUACUAUUUUAAUUUAAAAUUAUUUUAAUUGGGGAAAUUUUAAAAUUUUAAAAAUUUUUAAUUAAAUUAACAUAAAUUUUUGAAUAAUUAAAAUUUUAUAAAAAAAUAAAUUUAAAUUACCUUAGGGAUAACAGCAUAAUUUUUUUUAAAAGUUCAAAUUUAAAAAAAAGUUUAUGACCUCGANNNNGAAUAAGA
rnacentral:rRNA from 1 species